rnacentral:rRNA from 1 species
ACGCUGGCGGCACGCUUAACACAUGCAAGUCGAACGCAGUAGCAAUACUGAGUGGCAGACGGGUGAGUAUAAUGUGGGAAUCUGCCUUUUGGUUCGGAAUAACUCGGGGAAACCUGAGCUAAUACCGGAUAAGCCCUUACGGGGAAAGAUUUAUCGCCAAAAGAUGAGCCCGCACUUGAUUAGCUUGUUGGUGAGGUAAAAGCUCACCAAGGCAACAAUCAAUAGCUGUUCUUAGAGGAAGACCAGCCACAUUGGGACUGAGACACGGCCCAGACUCCUACGGGAGGCAGCAGUGGGGAAUCUUGCACAAUGGGGGAAACCCUGAUGCAGCGAUGCCGCGUGAGUGAAGAAGGCCUUUGGGUUGUAAAACUCUUUCGUCGGGGAAGAAAAUGACUGUACCCGAAUAAGAAGGUCCGGCUAACUUCGUGCCAGCAGCCGCGGUAAUACGAAGGGACCUAGCGUAGUUCGGAAUUACUGGGCUUAAAGAGCUCGUAGGUGGUUAAAAAAGUUGGUGGUGAAAUCCCAAGGCUUAACCUUGGAACUGCCAUCAAAACUUUUUAGCUAGAGUAUGAUAGAGGAAAGUGGAAUUUCUAGUGUAGAGGUGAAAUUCGUAGAUAUUAGAAAGAACACCAAAUGCGAAGGCAACUUUCUGGAUCAUUACUGACACUGAGGAGCGAAAGCAUGGGUAGCGAAGAGGAUUAGAUACCCUCGUAGUCCAUGCCGUAAACGAUGUGUGCUAGACGUUGGAAAUUUAAUUUUCAGUGUCGCAGCAAAAGCGUUAAGCACACCGCCUGGGGAGUACGACCGCA